AGGCCGCGCUGAGGACGUGGUUGCCCGUCCCUCCCUUGGGGAUGCCGUCGACUGCACCCGCCUCGCCUGUGCCUGGCCUGGCUCGCCUCGUGGCGUGGGGGCGAAAAGGGACAGGCGGCGGAGCGCUUACCGGCCGUGGACAGGAGCUGCCCUAAGGGAAGCUGGAAUGGCCAGAGAAAGGUGAAGAAGAAGAAGAAGAAGAAGAGAUGGAAGGCUCUCCGGCCGGCAGCUGCCUCCCGCUGCAGGCAAGAGAGCGCCUGCCUCGCCGGGCGGAGGACAGCCGAGCGACCGGAGUGACAGCAAAGGAAAGGCGGAGAGCAGGAGAAAGAAGCGUCUGCGCUGGCAAGCUCUCCCGGCAGCGCCGAGAGCCAGAGCUGCGGUGCUGCUGCGCCGAUGCUCCGUACGUUCGCAGUAACGGGUAGAGCGGAAGGCUCUGUGGCCAGGGAAGAGCGGCACGGACACGUUCCUGCUCGCUCCGUUGCACCGGAAUUUCGACGGCUGGGUUCGGCCGCUAAAUUGAUGGCGCUACCGGAAGAAAUUUCAGAGAAAAAGGGUGGCUUUUUCGUCGAUCUCUUUGUGAGAGUAUCAAAUCAGGCGGCGGUAAAUACGUAGAAGCAACUAGGCGUACUACGGCGUGUACCGGACAGCGUUGGCGUGCCGCUCUGCUAGCAGCGGAGAGCCAGAUGAGGAUGCCCGUGAUAUGAGAACAGCUCUGUCCAGAGAUAUGGAGACGAAAUCAGUUGUACCUCACCCUGUGACACCGGAAGACAUUGAGUAACUCGUCCUGCAGCUGGCUCCUCGGUUUUGGCGGCAGCCUGCACAUAGCAGCCCAGCUCUCCAGCAGCCUGACGGACCGACCGUGUGUCUGUUCCACGCCGGACUGGCGAGCGUGGCUCUGGGUAGGACAGCCGAGGUGCCCCAGGGCCGGGCCCCGAGCCCCGGUGCGGAGUCUCUCCCGGAACCGGCUCUGUGUGUGACUGAAUAAACGCUUGCGGUCUCUUUUGCCGUGCCGGCUGCGUUGGCGCUUCCUUUGCGGGGGGGGCGAGGGGCCGUGAUGGAGGGCAGGGGAGGAGGUGUGUGUGGGGGUAUUAACGUAUUCAACAAGGU